CACAGGGAGGUGAUUCAGGACAACCCGAAGCGGUGCAGGGAACCUGGUGCUAAAUUUAGCACGAAAUCUUGCCAUCCUGCGGCUGGCUGGGUCUGUGGCUGGGCAGGAUCUGUCCACACAGCCCUCAAGGACAACCGAUGGAGCCCUGGCAGAGCGCCACAUGGUCCAGGGAAAGGCUUUCUGAUCUCUUACUCUCGUUUUCUAAAACGUGGAUGCUUUUUCAUGAGUUUAAAGGCUGGAAAGAUCCCUUUCUUACUGGCCUCCCGUUACCUAAUUAAAAUAAGAACAGCUUGUGAGAAGGCCAUAACACAGAAGAAGCAAGUCACUUUCCUCUUGGGCACGUUGGACUUCCAAAGCUUGUAAGAUGUUCCCCUGGCGGGUGACUCACACCCUCAGGAUUACCACUCCCAAGCACUUCAGAGAGAGCAACAUUUGGUGUGUCAAAAGAAAGGACGUGCGAGAAGGGGGAGAAUUUUCCACAAAAGUACAGCUUCCUGCCAGAGAGCACACGGGAGGGCCGAACAUUUGGGCAUAAACAACUCACACGUCUGAAGAAGGAGAGCGACUCGGAGGAGGCUGCCGAGAGGGCUGAAGAGGCCCAUCUAGUUCUCAGAGUGUGGCCAAAGUCCUCUGUGGUGACCCUACCUGAAGCAAAAGGGUUAAUGUGGACCUUUAUUAGGGGGGCCCUGAGACGAUCAAGAAGCGAGGGUCACAGCUCUCCUCCGUCUACUGCAGAGGGUGUUGGGUGCCCACUCUCACCGGGGCGUGGUGAGGGCUUCUCCUGGGGGAGGAGGCUGGAUCAACCUGUCACUGACUGAGGACAUUCAGUCUAAGUGAGAGAGAGAAAGAGAACGUGAGCAGGGGAGGGGAGACACAGAAUCCGAAGCAGGCUCCAGGCUCCCAGCUGUCAACACGGCACAGAGCCCGACACGGGGCUUCAACUCACAAACCAUGAGAUGGUGACCUGAGCCGAAGUUGGAUGCUGAACCGAUUGAGCCACCCUGGUUCCCCCAGGUUGGCAGUCUACACUUCUGAUCAAUCAGCUAUCCUUUGGAGGUAGCCACGAUGCCCCUCCGUGGACUUCAGACACCAGCGGCAAAUCCGGGCUGUUACCUGUUGGCUGUGAACCAGAAGUUCCCAUGACCCCCUCCUCAGGUUCUCUGGAGCUACAGACAGCUGUCAGCUCCUUCACCUCUGGUUCAGUCGCUUGAUUUCCAUUGGCUUGAGUCAGAAAAUACACCAGCCCUGUGUCCAACUCACAAAAUUUAGACCCAGAAGGAAAAAUAAAUUCCUUGUGAGGUCAUCCCUCUCGUCUGAACACUAUCUGGUAGACUCCUUGAGCCACGAAAAUGGCAGAGAUCUUGGACGUCUGCCCAGCUGUCGGAGGGAAUGGAAGAGACGAGGAAAAUGGCCAGGAGCGGUGGUGCACGGGAACACGGAGCCUGAACAGCAAACACAGGAGAUGGACCAGGACUGCAUAUUGAUUCCAGUUACUUCCAUGGGAGCAGAGACAAGCAAAGCCUG